GAUGAACGCUGGCGGCGUGCCUAAUACAUGCAAGUCGAGCGAACAGACGAGGAGCUUGCUCCUCUGACGUUAGCGGCGGACGGGUGAGUAACACGUGGAUAACCUACCUAUAAGACUGGGAUAACUUCGGGAAACCGGAGCUAAUACCGGAUAAUAUAUUGAACCGCAUGGUUCAAUAGUGAAAGACGGUUUUGCUGUCACUUAUAGAUGGAUCCGCGCCGCAUUAGCUAGUUGGUAAGGUAACGGCUUACCAAGGCAACGAUGCGUAGGCGACCUGAGAGGAUGAUCGGCCACACUGGAACUGAGACACGGUCCAGACUCCUACGGGAGGCAGCAGUAGGGAAUCUUCCGCAAUGGGCGAAAGCCUGACGGAGCAACGCCGCGUGAGUGAUGAAGGUCUUCGGAUCGUAAACCUCUGUUAUUAGGGAAGAACAAAUGUGUAAGUAACUAUGCACGUCUUGACGGUACCUAAUCAGAAAGCCACGGCUAACUACGUG
rnacentral:rRNA from 1 species